rnacentral:rRNA from 1 species
GACGAACGCUGGCGGCGUGCUUAACACAUGCAAGUCGAGCGGUGCGGCGAACGGGUGAGUAACGCGUGAGUAACUGCCCCCCUCUCUGGGAUAACAGUUGGCAACGGCUGCUAAUACCGGAUAGUGGGGGAUGACUGGGCUCCUAUCAGCUUGUUGGUGGGGGAGUGGCCUACCACGGGGACGCCUGGUAGCCGGCCUGAGAGGGCGACCGGCCACAUUGGGCUGAGAGACGGCCCAAACGCCGACGGGAGGCAGCAGGGGGGAAUAUUGCACGAGGGGGGAAACCCUGAGGCAGCAACGCCGCGUGCGGGAUGACGUCCUUCGGGUUGUAAACCGCUUUCAGCCAUGACGCGUUAGUGGCAGAAGAAGCACCGGCUAACUACGUGCCAGCAGCCGCGGUAAUUC